GAUGCUUCUCAGCCUUUUGGCUAAGAUCAAGUGUAGUAUCUGUUCUUAUCAGCUUAAUAUCUGAUAUGCCCUCUAUCUGAGGACAAUAUGUUAAAUGGAUAUUUUCUUUUGAGCUGGGAGUUGGGAUGGGAGCUUGCUCUGCCCGUUCCACCCAUUGAUCUGGUAUUGUAGUACCUCCAGGAAUGGUGCAGGGAAG